UACGUAGGGUCCGAGCGUUGUCCGGAAUUAUUGGGCGUAAAGGGCUCGUAGGCGGUUUGUUGCGUCGGGAGUGAAAACCCAGGGCUUAACUCUGGGCUUGCUUUCGAUACGGGCAGACUUGAGGCAUUGAGGGGAGAACGGAAUUCCUGGUGUAGCGGUGAAAUGCGCAGAUAUCAGGAGGAACACCGGUGGCGAAGGCGGUUCUCUGGGCCUGUACUGACGCUGAGGAGCGAAAGCGUGGGGAGCGAACAGG
rnacentral:rRNA from 1 species